CCUACGGGAGGCAGCAGUGGGGGAUAUUGCACAAUGGGGGGAACCCUGAUGCAGCGACGCCGCGUGGGUGAAGGAGCGUUUCGGCGCGUAAAGCCCUAUCGGCAGGGAAGAAGGAGGACGGUACCUGACUAAGAAGCCCCGGCUAACUACGUGCCAGCAGCCGCGGUAAUACGUAGGGGGCAAGCGUUAUCCGGAUUUACUGGGUGUAAAGGGGGCGCAGACGGCAGCGCAAGCCAGGAGUGAAAGCCCGGGGCCCAACCCCGGGACUGCUCUUGGAACUGCGCGGCUGGAGUGCAGGAGGGGCAGGCGGAAUUCCUGGUGUAGCGGUGAAAUGCGUAGAUAUCAGGAGGAACACCGGUGGCGAAGGCGGCCUGCUGGACUGCGACUGACGUUGAGGCCCGAAAGCGUGGGGAGCAAACAGGAUUAGAUACCCCUGUAG
rnacentral:rRNA from 1 species